UAGUCCACGCCGUAAACGAUGGAUACUAGCUGUCCGGGUCCUUGAGGCCUGGGCGGCCAAGCGAAAGUGAUAAGUAUCCCACCUGGGGAGUACGUUCGCAAGAAUGAAACUCAAAGGAAUUGACGGGGGCCCGCACAAGCGGUGGAGCAUGUGGUUUAAUUCGAUGAUACGCGAGGAACCUUACCAGGGCUUAAAUGCAUAUUGACAGGGUCAGAGAUGGCCUUUCCUUCGGGCAAUUUGCAAGGUGCUGCAUGGUUGUCGUCAGCUCGUGCCGUGAGGUGUCAGGUUAAGUCCCGCAACGAGCGCAACCCCUAUUUCUAGUUGCCAGCACAUAAUGGUGGGGACUCUAGAGAGACUGCCGGCGCAAGCCGCGAGGGAAGGUGGGGGAUGACGUCAAAUCAUCAUGGCCUUUAUGCCCAGGGGCUACACACGUGCUACAAUGGGCGAGUACAGAGGGCAGCGAAACCGCGAGGGUGGGAGCCAAUCUCAGAAAGCU
rnacentral:rRNA from 1 species